rnacentral:rRNA from 1 species
UACGGAGGGUGCAAGCGUUGUUCGGAAUCAUUGGGCGUAAAGCGCGUGUAGGCGGCUUGGCAAGUCAGUUGUGAAAGCCCGGGGCCCAACCCCGGAACUGCAUCUGAAACUGCCUGGCUAGAGUCCCGGAGAGGAAGGCAGAAUUCCCGGUGUAGGGGUGAAAUGCGCAGAUAUCGGGAGGAACACCUAUGGCGAAGGCAGCUCGCUGGGACGUUACUGACGCUGAGACGCGAAAGCGUGGGGAGCAAACAGG